CACCCGCCGGCGCAGCCCCGCCACGAGACUCUGACAGCGGCGCGGCUGGCGCGGCUCGGACGCGCAGGAACCGGCUGACCCCAGCAGCGAAGGAGGACGCGAGGACCGCGGCUCGGGGCCAAGUGCGGGAGGCGAGCAGGGCCGGAGGCGCGCGGAGAUCCCCUCUGAAGCAGCUGGGAGCUCAGAAGCUCUCUCCAUCCCUGAGGAGUGGGUUAGCCACAAGAGCAAGAAGUGAUGGACUGGAGUCCACCCAGCGCCUGAGGCAUGAGCAGAAUCCACACCCAUUAGACCCAGAGCCUCAGAGUGGGAGGCUGCACUGCUGGGGAGAUCCAAGAAGAAUCAAUACUUUGGCCCCUGGCGACAUGUACACGGUGUAAUGACAGGUAAUGAACCUGAGGCUCGUCUAUCCUUUAUGAAUGAUAUGGCAGGUAGGCGAAUAUAUCAGCUUGCAGUAAUCAUAAAAUGUCAACCUGUGGGAAGAUAACUAUGCAAACAAAGCACACUAACU
rnacentral:lncRNA from 1 species